rnacentral:lncRNA from 1 species
UAGUUAAAAUCCCCUCCAGCAAUCGGCGCCUCAUGUCUUCAGUGCCUGUCAGCUGGGAAUCUGAACUGGCCCAGCGAGCCACCAUAGCCUGCAUAUCCCGUCCCCAGGCAACACUUGCAUCCCGCAGCUCUGGACACCCGACUCGUCUGGCAAGCUUCCCAUUCCAUUGUGAUCCGACUGCAUUGUCUCUACUGUUCCCAGUACGCCACGGUCUAGAUGAGUAGGAAGGGCAGGAAGGCAGCUGGCAGCUUGGCAAGGACAUCGGGAUGUGCGGUAGGACAGCUGACAGCAGAAGGGGGGGGAAGUGCAUCCCAGCUUGUUUGUGUGUCCAGAAACAGGCUGAGCGAGCAGCUCGUGCUCGAGAACGGGAACGCCGGCGCAAAGAAUUGGAAGCCGAGGAAGCCCGUCAGCGGGACCGUAACCGCCAAGCCGAGCGGGACAAGCGGCGGGAACACAGCAGAGAGCGAGAACGCGAGCACCCCAAUGCCACCAGUGGUGGUGGGGCCAGUCGAGCAGGUGAAUGUGGCGGCCGGGGAGACCGUGAACGGCGCAAAGCCAAAAGCCGCCACAGUCGGAGUCGGAGCACGCCUGUACAGGACAGAGGGGGGCGCCGCUGAGCUAUUCCCCAGCCUUCCUUUUGACCUUUGGGGUGUGGGGAGGAGUUGGUGGUGGGGGCACUUUCCCUGAAUCAAGCUCCUGAGUUUUACAGGCAAGGAGGAACAAGGAGGGGUAGAGAGUUUCUUUGCCCACUGCUGGAAGGGCCAAGAGGGGUCUGGUGUGGCUAGUGGCGGCCAAAGUGGUAGGGCUCUCCCCCCCUUCCCCUAACGGGAUAAGUUUGAUUCCGGACCCCUCCUGCUCCCCUCUUCUGGAGCCAGUGUCCUUCCUGUUGAUUUGUAUUUUAUUUUGGGAAAAUGUUUUUUUAUUCUUCUGAUGAUAUAGGAAAGAGAGCAUAAUAAAGAGAUGGCAUUAGUUUUAAAGCUGCUGUCCUGCUUCUUUUGGGGGGUGCAGAAAAUGGGAAGCCCCCCACC